CACAAUGUGUGCUUUGGGUGGAGAUGAGUCUACCUCCAGCUCCAAAGGAGGCAUCUGAUUUAGCCCUGAACCUCUUUUUUGACCACAAAGUUGGAUGCAUAGGUAGAUAGAGGAAUAAAUUGGAGCCAAUAAAACUAAUCUUAGGAUAUGGUUGAAACGACCAAAAAAAGGAGGUCUUUUUUUCUUUGCCUUCUAUAAUUUCCACAGCCAUCUUUUCAUCACAAUGGGACAGCCUGUCUGAGAAUGAGGCCAAUGCAAAGAAGAAAGUGGAGCCCACGUACAGAGAGAUGAUACAUUGAUGAUAUCAUGUGUCCUAGAUUCAUGCUUCAUAUGAAGGAGUCCCAUUAUACCGAUACUGAAACACUGAAGUCUUGUUCGUGUCUUUUUUAUGUUUUUCAGAUUGGGUAAUUUCUAUUGAUCUGUUUUCAUUAUCAUUGACUCUGAUUUUCUUUUGCUCUCCAAUUGGCUGUAAAGACCAUUGGUCCAUUUUUCAAUUUAUAUGUUUUAAUUUGAGAUCCUAGAAUUUUCAUUUGUUUCUUUACAAAUAAUUAAUCUGUUGAUUUUCACUUUGAAAUCACUCUUUUUCUGUUAAUUUAACACGUGAUAUAUUGACAUUUUUUAAAUUGAUUGCUCUUUCUCUGAAUCUUGCUUAACAUUGCCUCAUUUCAUUAUGCUUUUGGUAAAUUUUGAUUGUCUACUAGACAUUUUGAAUGUAUGAUGCACUGUGGACUCUGGCUUCAGUUAUCUUCCUCUGAAGUGCAUUUAUUUUUAUUUUAAUAAGUACUUAAAUUAUCGACUGAUCACAAUGAAGUUGUGCAUUCUUUGGUUUACAAUUUUUUUUCUUCCUUCAGAUUUCCCUUAAUUCUAUGGUCAGUCUUUAGUCCUGGGACCUAGCCUCUACUCCUAAAGCUUACCCCGUCUGGGGUUUCAGUGGAAAACCCAAGGUGACUACCACUUGUCUAAUGGUAGUAUCCAAGCUCCGAAUUCUUUUUUUUUUUUUAACCUGUGGUAGAGAACAGCUGAAAUUUCCACUCAGCUUUUUCAGAUAUGUACUUAUUGCUCUCUUCUACGUUCUUUGGAUAUAUGUGAAAUUCAGGGUCAGCCACGAUGUGAGAGGAGUUCACAGGUAAAUUGUGGAGCCAACCCAAUGUGGCUUUCCCCUUAUCAGGACUAGUCUCUCAAUUUCCAGAUACUUUGUCAGCUGCAGUCUCUGUCCUCUAACACAGUGGUCCCCAAGCUUUCUG
rnacentral:lncRNA from 1 species